AUUAUAUACACACACACUAUACAAACACACUGUGUAUAUAAUGCAGUUUGUGUAGUGUGUGUAUAUAAUGCAGUGUAUUUGUGUAGUGUGUUUAUAUAAUUCAGUGUGUGUUUGUGUAGUGUGUUUGUGCAGUGUGUGUUUGUGUAGUGUGUAUAUAAUGCAGUGUGUGUGUUUGUGUAGUGUUUAUAUAAUGCAGUGUUUGUGUGUGUAGUGUGUGUAUAUAAUGCAGUGUGUUUGCAUAGUGUGUGUAUAUAAUGCAGUGUAUUUGCGUAGUGUGUUUAUAUAAUGCACACUACACAAACACACUGCAUCAUAUACACACUAUACAAACACACACACACUGCAUUAUAUAAACACACUACAUUCACUAUACACACACUACACAAAUACACACACACUCUGCAUUCAUUAUAUACACACACACUUUGCAUUUAGUAUAUACAGCAUUCACUUUACGCACACUACCCACACACUACACAAACACUCUGCUUUCAUUAUAUACACACUACACUUUGCAUUUAGUAUAUACAGCAUUCACUUUACGCACACUACCCACACACUACACAAACACUCUGCUUUCAUUAUAUACACACUACACUAAUACAUACUGCAUCCACUACACACACUAAACAAAUACACACUGCAUCCACUACACAAACACACAUUGCAUCCUCCACACACACUACACAAACACACACACUGCAUCCACAACCCACACACUACACAAACACACACUGCAUCCACUACACAAAGACACACACUGCAUCCACUACACACACUACACAAACACACACAGUUCCCCUGUCACACUGCAUCCACUACAUGUGGCAUGUAUAUUUUGUGCAUUUACCUUUAGAAAUAGUUUUUAUUUUCCAAAAUGGUAAAUGUACAGAAUAUCAGCAAAUUAUAUCGGCUAUCGGCCUGAAAGUUCACAGAAUAUCGGUAUCGGCUCUAAAAAAAUCAAUAUCGGUCGAUCCCUAGCCAUAAUGUAUAUAAAUGUUUGCUUUCAUAUAUUUCAGCUUUAUUUUCUUUGAAAUACAAAAAUGUAUGCUCUAAGACUGUCUAAUCUUCUAUAAGAUGCUGCUAAAACACAAUUACAGGGUUAGUCACCAAAGUGGGAAUUGUUGGCAAUUCAAAGUGAAUUUCAAAAUUAAAAAGAACAUAGAAACAUAGAAUGUGACAGCAGAUAAGAACCAUUCGGCCCAUCUAGUCUGCCCAAUAAAUUCCCUCUUUGGAAUGAAGUUGUUAUGGUGCAAAGAGGUUCCUAGGACCGGUUUACCUUCAGGGGUUAGUCCAUUUAUGAAUGGUUUAACCCAAAAGUAUGCCCUAUUCUUCCACUUUUUCUGAGAUUCUUUAAUCUGGAAGUCUUCGACUGCUGUGGACAUGCAGGGCUGAAUGGCUGAGGGUCAGCUGAUGCUCUACACCAACCAGUGAAUCCCUAUUCAUAAAAGCGGCUUGAGAAAAAUAUGUAUGUUACCCAAGUGGUUUUGUCCAAGGCUUUGUGUUUGAAGAAUCAGAAGGAGAGGGGCUGAGCAAAACGACACUGGACAAAUGUUUGUGAAUAGAAACUAAAUGGUUCAUAAAAGUAAACUGACACCAGUGACCUUCAUUCUGAUGAAGCUGUUAUGGGGCCUGGAUGUUCCCUUAGAGGCAAAAAUAGUCAAAAUGGAAACGUUUUCCAAGUCCACUUUACUUACAAUUCAGCUACUUUUGUCAGUUGAAAUUCACUUUGAAUUCCUAACAAAUCCCAAGUUAGUGAAAACCCCUUAAUUAGUCUCAUUGGUGAGAGGAGGCUAAUCAGAAUUGGAGAAAAACCUCAGGUUUUAUUGUUUUUGUUUACACAAUAUGUAGCACUGAUAUAUUACUACCUACUGGAAUGUGAAAAUAAGCCAAAUGUGAAUAAAUAUAUUGCUG
rnacentral:lncRNA from 1 species